CUCAUUAUAACAGCUAUAAUUUACUUGAUCUUGACACAAUCCUACUUGGAUAACUGUGGUAAUUCUAGAGCUAAUACAUGCAUUAAAGCUCUGACCUCACGGGAAGAGUGCAUUUAUUAGAACAAAACCAAGCGGCUUCGGCUGUUUCUGGUUGACUCAUAGUAACUGAGCUGAUCGCAUGGUCUUGCACCGGCGACGUGUCUUUCAAGUAUCUGCCGUAUCAACUUUCGAUGGUAGUGUAUCUGACUACCAUGGUGAUCACGCGUAACGGAGAAUAAGGGUUCGGCUCCGGAGAGUUCGCCUGAGAAAUCGCGAACACAUCUAAGGAAGGCAGCAGGCGCGAAAAUUACCCACUCUCAGCACGAGGAGGUAGUGACGAAAAAUAACGAGACCGUUCUCUUAUGAGGCCGGUCAUCGGAAUGGGUACAAUUUAAACCCUUUAACGAGUAUCUAUGAGAGGGCAAGUCUGGUGCCAGCAGCCGCGGUAAUUCCAGCUCUCAAAGUGCAUAGAAUUAUUGCUGCGGUUAAAAAGCUCGUAGUUGGAUCUGUGCCAUAGGACGUGGUCCACCUUCGGGUGCGUACUACGCUCCUAGGCUUUUUGCUGGUUUUCCCGUCGUAGCCUUCACUGGUUGCGGCGGGUGGCUGGCGAGUUUACUUUGAGAAAAUCAGAGUGCUCAAUACAGGCGUAUCGCUUGAAUGAUUGUGCAUGGAAUAAUAGAAAAGGAUUUCGGUCCUCUUUUAUUGGUUUUGUGGACUGAGAUAAUGGUUAACAGGGACAAACGGGGGCAUUCGUAUCUCUGCGUGAGAGGUGAAAUUCUUGGACCGUAGAGAGACGCCCUACUGCGAAAGCAUUUGCCAAGAA
rnacentral:rRNA from 1 species